UACGGAGGGUGCAAGCGUUGCUCGGAAUUACUGGGCGUAAAGGGCGCGUAGGCGGCCUGUUAAGUCGAACGUGAAAUCCCCGGGCUCAACCCGGGAACUGCGUCCGAUACUGGCAGGCUUGAAUCCGGGAGAGGGAUGCGGAAUUCCAGGUGUAGCGGUGAAAUGCGUAGAUAUCUGGAGGAACACCGGUGGCGAAGGCGGCAUCCUGGACCGGUAUUGACGCUGAGGCGCGAAAGCCAGGGGAGCAAACGGG
rnacentral:rRNA from 1 species